AUCGGGCGGUCGCCCCGCGCGCCCCCCUCGCGCUGUUCACAUCGCGCCGCGCAGGUGAGGCGGGGGGGGUGUGGUGCGCAUGCGCCGGGCCGGCGCCCCGCGGCGUACAGGUGAGGCGGGAGGAGGAGCCGCUCCCCCGUUACCCGCUGGGGUAAUUAGAGCGGCCGCGCUAAUUGCAGUCAGCUGAGCCGGGCAGGCUGCGGCUCACCCCGGCCCGCGCCGGUGAAGGCCUCUGCUCGCAGCCCGGGCCGGUGUCAGGCCCCGGGGCCCCGCUCCUCACCGGUACACGGGGAUAACGCCUCACACAGCGGCCUCGGGCUGUGGGUCACAGAGCCGCCCUCAGGAGCCAGGCAUCCUGCUAUGCCCUGCAGAAUCCAGGAUCCUCUCAAGUGAUGGGAAAGGAAGCAAAAGGAAAACAAAGGGUUUUUCCUGCUAGCUCAUGUCACAGGAAGAGCUGCACUGUCUGAGGGAACCACCACCGCUGGACGAGAGGCGCUGGGCUUCGAGACUGCACAGAGCAAGCUUUGGUGCUCUGCUGUGGUCUCAGAUGGUCUCCCCAGCAGACUGUCUGCAUACGGGAGGUCUUACUGGAUGUGCUGGGGUAACCGUUACAUGGAAAUGUGGGUGAGCAUGUGAUUAAAAGUAGUAUCCACCGUAUUUUUCUAAAGACAUCAGAUUCUUCACUUCCUCUGGCAAUUUGUUCUGCAUCCCCUAGCUAGAGUACACUCGAUGUCCCCCAUCACUUACCCUGAUACCCCUCCGCCUGAGACAGGCCUCUCCUGCUUCACCAAGUAGAAAACCAAAGCACAAAGUCAUCCCUAAGUAAACCUGACCUACCUCUGGGAGUUACACUAGUGUAAGUCGGGACUUGCUGGACUGAAGUCAGCUCAGUUCUGCUGAUGGAAAACAGGCAUAUGAGGAACGUGUCAGCCCCCAGUGCUGACUAGUGCCAGGCAAGGAACAAUUAAACCAAAUUUGGCCCUAAGAAUUGCUCGCCGUCUCCCAGCUGAGCUUAGGACAUUGUUUCCUAGCCGCUUUCAUGAGUGCUUUCUACCCCCCCCCAGUCCUCUUUGCUUCAGGACUGAGGCGCUUUGUGCUCCAUCCACUCGGAUGUAAACAGCACAGAGGAAGCAAUACGGAAACUCCUCCCCACCCUCGCUCUAACCGCUCCAGAGCACUGCCAGCCACUGCGGGGUGUAAAUCACCACAAACCGGGGAGCUCCUUACCUGGGGAGCCUGCGGCCUGGGGCAUCAGCCGCUGCCCGGGAGCAGGUGCCCGUUCCAGUGCAACAGCCGCGCUGCCAACUCCGGCCAUGCCAGAGCACGGGGCCGCGCGGGGGCUCCGGGUCUCUUCACGCGUCAGGUCUCUGGGACAGGUGAGAUGUUCACAGGGGGAAAGGAGACACCAGGAACCAUUUCCAGGUUUCUCCAAAGGACAAGGUACCUUUUCCACGAUGAAUCGGGCUCUCUCUGCUUCUUGCUGGGCCACCUGCUUCAUCUCCACCGCCUCUGUGAACUCCUUGCCAAAGGUCAGGUGGGUCUGUGAGGCAGAAAUUAGGCAAAGUCCACAACGCUGACACCAUGCAACCCGUGCAGCUCCCGGGGGAGGCAGCUGCCCGCCCCAGUGCCGCUGGAACAGAGGUGGAACACCAGUGUCCCUGAAAGGACAGGAACUGGGACACGCAAGCCUCCCCGGCCAGUGCUGAAGUGUCAAGGGAGACGCUAUCAGCACAACUCCAGCAGCCCAGCUGGACCCAGCACAUCCUCCCUGUGUCCCAGCGUGCUUGUGGAGCAGCUGCCUCCUCUACAGCAACAUGCUGCCUCCUCUACAGCAACGUACAGCCUCAUCCAUCACCCGCAGCCGCACUUGCUCUUCAUUUUAACUGUAAAAGGCCUGCAAUAGUGAUGUCUGCUGAUAAGCCAGUGCAGUGGGGCCUUCAAGGGCUCACUCAAGGUCACAGACGGCCAGUGACAAAACCAGAGGCGCUGCCUUGAGCUGGAACCGCAAAAUCCCACAGACAGACAAACACAGUCCACGUGUCAUCCACUGAUUUCCCACUGCUCUUGCUGGCGCAGACUGCAGAGAGGAAGAGCUGAAAAGGGAGAACUCUUACCAAGGA